GGUGAGGAAGUUGAAACUCAAGGAGAUGAUUAUUUGCUCAAUAUCAUAUGGGACCUGAAAAGCAGAGAGGGGAGACAGUUGGAGAAGAAGGAAAGAAGGUACCCUCUGUGAGGGCGUGAAGGUGAAGUCUAAAGAUUUAGAAACACAAGCCUGGGGCUCUUCCCAAAAUGGCCAGCCCCAGAGGAAACUCACCCAUGGGACAGAAGAGUCACAUGAUUUCAUAUAAAAAAAAGGAAAUAAACUUAAUUCUGCUUUCCUCCAGAGGUGCCAAGUGGAAGAACUGGGAGUAGCUUGUUCAAAUUGCAGGGAAACCAGAGCAUGACAUUAAGGAGAACAUUGAAAUAACAUCUUAAUUAAUGAUCACCAAUGCAAACUGUUG